rnacentral:rRNA from 1 species
AGCGAACGCUGGCGGCAGGCCUAACACAUGCAAGUCGAACGAACUCUUCGGAGUUAGUGGCGGACUGGUGAGUAACACGUGGGAACGUGCCUUGAGGUUCGGAAUGACUCAGGGAAACUUGAGCUAAUACCGGAUGUGCCCUUCGGUGGAAAGAUUUAGCGCCUUUAGAGCGGCCCGCGUCUGAUUAGCUAGUUGGUGAGGUAAAGGCUCACCAAGGCGACGAUCAGUAGCUGGGCUGAGAGGAUGAUCAGCAACAUUGGGACUGAGACACGGCCCAAACUACUACGGGAGGCAGGAGUGGGGAAUCUAGCGAAAUGGGCGAAAGGCUGACGCAGCCAUGCCGCGUGAAUGAUGAAGGUCUUAGGAUUGUAAAAUUAUUUCACCGGGGACGAUAAUGACGGUACCCGGAGAAGAAGCCCCGGCUAACUUCGUG